GAUGAACGCUGGCGGCGUGCCUAAUACAUGCAAGUCGAGCGAACAGAUGAGGAGCUUGCUCCUCUGACGUUAGCGGCGGACGGGUGAGUAACACGUGGAUAACCUACCUAUAAGACUGGGAUAACUUCGGGAAACCGGAGCUAAUACCGGAUAAUAUAUUGAACCGCAUGGUUCAAUAGUGAAAGACGGUUUUGCUGUCACUUAUAGAUGGAUCCGCGCCGCAUUAGCUAGUUGGUAAGGUAACGGCUUACCAAGGCAACGAUGCGUAGCCGACCUGAGAGGGUGAUCGGCCACACUGGAACUGAGACACGGUCCAGACUCCUACGGGAGGCAGCAGUAGGGAAUCUUCCGCAAUGGGCAAAAGCCUGACGGAGCAACGCCGCGUGAGUGAUGAAGGUCUUCGGAUCGUAAAACUCUGUUAUUAGGGAAGAACAAAUGUGUAAGUAACUAUGCACGUCUUGACGGUACCUAAUCAGAAAGCCACGGCUAACUACGUG
rnacentral:rRNA from 1 species